rnacentral:rRNA from 1 species
AGUGAACGCUGGCGGUAGGCCUAACACAUGCAAGUCGAACGGCAGCACAGGAGAGCUUGCUCUCUGGGUGGCGAGUGGCGGACGGGUGAGGAAUACAUCGGAAUCUACCUUUUCGUGGGGGAUAACGUAGGGAAACUUACGCUAAUACCGCAUACGACCUUCGGGUGAAAGCAGGGGACCUUCGGGCCUUGCGCGGAUAGAUGAGCCGAUGUCGGAUUAGCUAGUUGGCGGGGUAAAGGCCCACCAGGGCGACGAUCCGUAGCUGGUCUGAGCGGAAGAUCAGCCACACUGGAACUGAGACACGGUCCAGACUCCUACGGGAGGCAGCAGUGGGGAAUAUUGGACAAUGGGCGCAAGCCUGAUCCAGCCAUACCGCGUGGGUGAAGAAGGCCUUCGGGUUGUAAAGCCCUUUUGUUGGGAAAGAAAAGCAGCCAGUUAAUACCUGGUUGUUCUGACGGUACCCAAAGAAUAAGCACCGGCUAACUUCGUGCCAGCAGCCGCCGUAA